rnacentral:lncRNA from 1 species
AGGGUCCCUUAAAAUAAUCUAGUGCUCCCUCACAUUGUGCCAGCACAUGGUCAUUGUUAUUUCAUAGUAGUGCUAUUCCAGUGAAUGGGUGAGUGCAGUGGUGUGGGAAGAGAAUGAGGGUUUGACCUUAUCCCAGAGGCUGUUCUACUGCAGCUCAUAGUGGACUUUCACAUAGAUGUCACCAUGCUAAAACAAAGCCUCAUGACCACCAUUUAUCUUACAUAAGACAAGUCUGCCAGAGGAUCUAGCAAUGGAUCUUCAUUGUCUGCCAAUGGCCCAUAUGUCAAAGGAUUGAUCUCUUGAAUGACUGUAUUGGAGCCUUUAAUAAGAAGUUUUUUUCCAUGUGUACAGGGGUAACACAUCGUACUAAAUAUAUUGUACCAAUACCCUCAAUAAAAAAGAAAAAAAAAAAGAAACAGGCCAGUGUCCAAAACGGGACCCACCAGGACGCACCCAUGACAGUAAACACGGAGGUGAAGAACUAAAGACCAUGCGUAACAGCAGCUGCUGGAGCCGACCUUGCCACCACUUGGAAAACAAGUGCCUGGUAAUGGCACAGAGGGAAAGCAAACAGAGUUGACAAAUACGGAGAGACAAGAUCCCCAUGAUUCUAAAUCUAGUGUUUUCCAGUUUGAGUUGCAUUCCUUUCAUUUGUAACUGGCAGCAUUUAAUAAUUAUUAGCUAUUAAUAUUUUGAUCCCCAAAUGUUCCCUCAAAUUUAGAUUGAGAAGAUAUCUACUUAAUAAUAGAUUCUUUGCUCCCAGUAGGAAUCAUCUUUUCAUCUUAUGUUUAGUGGCUAUACUGAUGUAUGUGCUUUAAAUGAGUGAAUAAAUUAUAAAAACACUCUAAAAACACCCUCAGGUCAAUUUGAUGAAUGGUGAUAAGCAAUGCGUUCUUUAAUUAGAUGAUUAAACUUAUAAAAAAAUCCUGAUAACCCCUUCAAGAUACAGCAUUGGUAAAGAAAUGACAACUUGUGAAAACAAUGAGUAGAAAAAGCUAAAUAGCUUCCCAGAAU